rnacentral:lncRNA from 1 species
CAGACAUGCUUGGACCAAUCGCUAGUUCAGCCCAAGCCAUUACCCAAGAAACCAAGUCCCUGCAUUGUCCCAUUCUGUUGGUGGAGUGGGACGAUGCAGAGAUGCUUGGGCCAAUCGCUGGUUCGGCCCGGGCCAUUGCCCGGGAAGCGAUGCAGAUCAUGACUGGGAGGCGCGGGCGGAGCGUGAUGGGUGAUAGACCGACAGCCGAGCUCCCCGCGGCAUGGACGUGCGUCUUGGAGGGGUGUGGACGGGUUUGAUUGGGUCUGCUCCUUGGAAGGAUAUACGGGGGCUUUUAUAUCUGCUUUGGGUUGUCUUUGGUUUGUGUUUGA